UUGGCUCCAUUUAAGUUGUCACACUCGAAUAAAAUAUCCAUAAUUAUAUAUUAUCAAUUGGUUUUAUAUGGAAAAUCAAUGGCUUUAACGCUAUUAUAAUUUUAUAUUAUAAAAAGGUAUUAUGAUUAAAAUAAUAAAAAUUCAAAGUAAAAAGUAAUAACUGCAUUGCAUGUCAUCCUUGCUCCACUGAUACGCUAUACAGUGGCGGAUCAAGAGAUAGGGGGUGAAACCUAUGGAACACCACGAAACCUACCUUUUAUUUUACGUGAUUUUGUAUGAAUAGGGACAUAUGGUUGGCCCUUCCCACUUUAUCAUGGGUUGGACUCCUCCCCUCUCAUUUUUAAACAAAAUGUCUGGAUCCACCUCUGAUAUACUGCAAAACGGUGUUGUUUUCCGUGUGUAACAGGAAAACAUUGAAGUAAGAUGAUAAUAAAAUGGUGUGCACCCGGUCAUGGCAAACGUAUACUGUUAUAAAUUUGUACUACUUAUAGUGUAUAACUUAAGACAUGAAAUACUAUAUAUUAUGUUGAAAAAAAAUUAAAGUAUAUAUAUUAUUUUAAUGGGCUGAUGAAAGUAAGCAUCUUACAUCUUUACUUUUUUGUACAUAAAUUAUGCCGUUAGUUUUCUCGUUUGAAUUGUUUUACAUUAAUUUUGUCAUUUCGGGGCCUUUUAUAGCUGACUAUGCGGUAUGGACUGUGCUCAUUGUAAAAGGCCAUACGGUGACCUAUACUAGUUGUUAAUUUCUAUGUCAGUUGGUCUCUUUUGGAGAGUUGCAUGUGUCAUUGGCAAUCAUACCACAUCUUCUUUUUUAAAUCUUUUUAAAAAAAUUGUCUCUCACUAUUUUAGGGUAGCUAUUAAUACACCGGCGACAACAUGGGAAUGACCCGGUUGUUGCAAUCCCUGCUUCUUCCGGAUUUGUUUUAUUCUUUAAACUAUGUAAAAAAAACAAUGGAAAUUGUUCUGGAUCGACUGCUUAUUCCAGAUGGAAUCAACUAGUGACACACAUAUCGGGUCUUUUUUUCUUCUUCGUUCCUUUCUUUUCUUUGAUAAAAUGAGAUUACACAAGUUAUAAUAAAUGACGAGCCAUCAUUCUUAUGACCAUGUUUCUAAACAACUUAUUUGGGGUUGUUAGAGACAUGGGUAACUCUUAUACAGUGGAUUGGAUGAGUGGGGACAAACCAGUGUUGAAGAAAAACAAGCUUUUUUUAAAUACAGAGUGUGGCCAUAAGUAUUCGUCACUUGAGAUUUUUCGCUAUAUAUUGUAUAUAAAACUACAUUUUUUCAAAAAAAUAUUUUGGGGUCAUUUUUGGUUUGAUUUUGUAGAUACUUUUUUAUUCCAAAACAAAAAUCCUGUUUUCAAUAUCCUCAGUUGCCUAGGAUGCCGAAUCAAGCUUUGGGGCAAGAUUUGAUUUAAGGUUUUGGGUACAUUUUAAGUAUUUUUAAACAAAAAAUAUAAUAUUCAAUCUAAAUUAUGUAUGCGCUGACCAAUUUUAAUGCCAGUUUUUUUUAAUAGGAAUAGGCCUUCAUACUGCUAUUGGGAUCAAGCUAGCUAGACAUUUUGGCUAAUUGAGAAAAACAUGAGAUAAAAAUGAAAGCUUUAUGGUGGUUGUUCAAUUCAUAGAAAAGAUCUCGUAAACUUAAAUACCACUGCCAUGACUGUCAUUAUUCAUAUAACGGUUAAAUUUCAAUUCCCAUAAGAAAUCAUAUUCAAUUAUCACGAACAUGUGCAGAUAUAUGACAGAUUAUCAUUACCAUUGCAAUUUCU
rnacentral:lncRNA from 1 species